GCAUAUCAAUAAGCGGAGGAAAAGAAACCAACAGGGAUUGCCUCAGUAACGGCGAGUGAAGCGGCAACAGCUCAAAUUUGAAAUCUGGCCGCCUGUGCGGUCCGAGUUGUAAUUUGAAGAGGAUGCUUUUGGCAAGGUGCCUUCCGAGUGCCCUGGAAUGGGACGCCAUAGAGGGUGAGAGCCCCGUAUGGUCGGUCGCCGAGCCUCUGUAAAGCUCCUUCGACGAGUCGAGUAGUUUGGGAAUGCUGCUCAAAAUGGGAGGUAAACCCCUUCUAAAGCUAAAUAUUGGCCAGAGACCGAUAGCGCACAAGUAGAGUGAUCGAAAGAUGAAAAGCACUUUGAAAAGAGAGUUAAACAGCACGUGAAAUUGUUGAAAGGGAAGCGCUUGCGACCAGACUUGUGCUCGUCGAAUCAGCCGUCGCUCGUCGGCGGCGCAUUUCGGCGGGCUCAGGCCAGCAUCAGUUCGCUGUAGGGGGAGAAAGGCGGUAGGAAUGUGGCUCUUCGGAGUGUUAUAGCCUGCCGUGUAAUACCCCUCGGCGGACUGAGGACCGCGCAUCUGCAAGGAUGCUGGCGUAAUGGUUGUCAGCGACCCGUCUUGAAACACGGACCAAGGAGUCGUCCUAAUAUGCGAGUGUUCGGGUGUAAAACCCCUACGCGUAAUGAAAGUGAACGGAGGUGAGAGCUUCGGCGCAUCAUCGACCGAUCCUGAUGUUCUCGGAUGGAUUUGAGUAUGAGCAUAUUGGGCCGGACCCGAAAGAAGGUGAACUAUGCCUGUAUAGGGUAAAGCCAGAGGAAACUCUGGUGGAGGCUCGCAGCGGUUCUGACGUGCAAAUCGAUCGUCAAAUAUGGGCAUGGGGGCGAAAGACUAAUCGAACCUUCUAGUAGCUGGUUUCCGCCGAAGUU
rnacentral:rRNA from 1 species